AGGAGCUGUAUGAGGUGAGAAUCUCAUGUACGGUUCUGUAAUAGCGAUGGGAACAGUGAUGUUCUCGCUGACUAUGAU
rnacentral:ncRNA from 1 species